CGCAUCGUGGCUCAGUCGUAGAGCGUGGGUCUGAUAAUCCCAAGGACGUGAGUUCCUCGACUCUUUUCAAGUUACGU